GGGGAUGUGGCUCAGUGGUAGAGUACUUGCACAGCUUGCACAAGGAGGCCCUGGGUUGAAUCCCCAGCACCACA
rnacentral:tRNA from 1 species